rnacentral:rRNA from 1 species
CCUUGAGACCGGCGCACGGGUGCGUAACGCGUAUGCAAUCUGCCCUGCACUAAGGGAUAGCCCAGAGAAAUUUGGAUUAAUACCUUAUGGUAUAAUGGUGUGGCCUCACAUUAUUAUUAAAGAUUUAUUGGUGCAGGAUGAGCAUGCGUCCCAUUAGCUAGUUGGUAUGGUAACGGCAUACCAAGGCGAUGAUGGGUAGGGGUCCUGAGAGGGAGAUCCCCCACACUGGUACUGAGACACGGACCAGACUCCUACGGGAGGCAGCAGUGAGGAAUAUUGGUCAAUGGGCGCAAGCCUGAACCAGCCAUGCCGCGUGCAGGAUGAAGGUCCUAUGGAUUGUAAACUGCUUUUGUACGGGAAGAAACCACCCUUCGUGAAGGGUCUUGACGGUACCGUAAGAAUAAGGAUCGGCUAACUCCGUGCCAGCAGCCGCGGUAAUACGGAGGAUCCGAGCGUUAUCCGGAAUCAUUGGGUUUAAAGGGUCCGUAGGCGGUUUUGUAAGUCAGUGGUGAAAUCCGGCAGCUUAACUGUCGCACUGCCAUUGAUACUGCAGGACUUGAAUAACUGUGAAGUAGCUAGAAUAUGUAGUGUAGCGGUGAAAUGCUUAGAUAUUACAUGGAAUACCGAUUGCGAAGGCAGGUUACUAACAGUUUAUUGACGCUGAUGGACGAAAGCGUGGGGAGCGAACAGGAUUAGAUACCCUGGUAGUCCACGCCGUAAACGAUGGAUACUAGCUGUUUGGUUGUAAGACUGAGUGGCUAAGCGAAAGUGAUAAGU